GUAGGUGGCAAGCGUUGUCCGGAAUUAUUGGGCGUAAAGCGCGCGCAGGCGGUUCUUUAAGUCUGAUGUGAAAGCCCACGGCUCAACCGUGGAGGGUCAUUGGAAACUGGAGAACUUGAGUACAGAAGAGGAAAGCGGAAUUCCACGUGUAGCGGUGAAAUGCGUAGAGAUGUGGAGGAACACCAGUGGCGAAGGCGGCUUUCUGGUCUAUAACUGACGCUGAGGCGCGAAAGCGUGGGGAGCAAACAGGGAUUAGAUACCCUGGUAGUCCACGCCGUAAACGAUGAGUGCUAAGUGUUAGGGGGUUUCCGCCCCCUUAGUGCUGCAGCUAACGCAUUAAGCACUCCGCCUGGGGAGUACGGCCGCAAGGCUG
rnacentral:rRNA from 1 species